UGGUAAUACCGGAUGCUCCGCUCCAUCGCAUGGUGGGGUGGGAAAUGCUUUUGCGGCAUGGGAUGGGGUCGCGUCCUAUCAGCUUGUUGGCGGGGUGAUGGCCCACCAAGGCGUUGACGGGUAGCCGGCCUGAGAGGGUGACCGGCCACAUUGGGACUGAGAUACGGCCCAGACUCCUACGGGAGGCAGCAGUGGGGAAUAUUGCACAAUGGGCGCAAGCCUGAUGCAGCGACGCCGCGUGCGGGAUGGAGGCCUUCGGGUUGUAAACCGCUUUUGUUCAAGGGCAAGGCACGGUUUCGGCCGUGUUGAGUGGAUUGUUCGAAUAAGCACCGGCUAACUACGUGCCAGCAGCCGCGGUAAUACGUAGGGUGCGAGCGUUAUCCGGAUUUAUUGGGCGUAAAGGGCUCGUAGGCGGUUCGUCGCGUCCGGUGUGAAAGUCCAUCGCCUAACGGUGGAUCUGCGCCGGGUACGGGCGGGCUGGAGUGCGGUAGGGGAGACUGGAAUUCCCGGUGUAACGGUGGAAUGUGUAGAUAUCG
rnacentral:rRNA from 1 species